GCUGCUGUGUUUGAGCAAACGCACUGAGCCAAAGUUCCCUGACAAGGUAAUCAGUCGGCCGCUCUGCCUGAAAUAAUCUCAGUCCUGACUGAGCUGCAUUAAUAAAGAAGAUAUGUUCAAGGUUAUUACUGCGUAUAUAGGCGUUGCACUACUUUAUUCGACUAAGAGGGAAAGUCAGUGUAAAUUGUUGUCGGAGAGAAAUAUGAGAACCGCAUGCCACUUCUCUCUCAUCAUCCUCCUCCUCAACCUGACUCUGUGAUAUCAUAAAACCUGACAACCGGUGUGUUACCGGACAAUGUAUAGACGUGCUGCCCAGGCGGUCGGCUCCUGCUGGUGCUUCUGCAGAUUAGCCAUGAGGAGACACACGAGACACACGAAUGCCUCAACCGAGUGCUGCCCCCGGAGCCCCGUGCGGAUUAUAAUGAAGACACAAUAUCUACGUGGCCAUGGACCUGCUGGCCCCUUCUCUCAUCAAGCCGGUUUGGGCGAUGUUCCAGACGCACAAAACACAGCCAGCUUGGGGAGGCAGCCUUAAUCACUCCCUCCCAGAGGCGCUGCGUGAAGAUUCCUCUGUCCGGAUCCCGCUGUCCCCGUUCUGACCUGCUGUGCCGCCGGCCUCCGUCCCUCUGGCGUCCUGACCCCGCUGUCCCCUUCCCUUGAAAUCCGCAUUCAUUAAA